rnacentral:rRNA from 1 species
AGCAGCCGCGGUAAUUCCAGCUCCAAUAGCGUAUAUUAAAGUUGUUGCAGUUAAAAGCUCGUAGUUGAAUUUCGGGAUCAAUAUGUUGGUCGUGCCUCGGUACGUACUAGCUUAUUGGUUUCUCCUUUCUGAAGAACCAUGAUGUCAUUUAUUUGGUGUCGUGGGGAAUCAGGACUGUUACUUUGAAAAAUUGAGUGUUUAAAGCAGGCUCACGCUUGAAUACAUUAGCAUGGAAUAAUGAAAUAGGACGUUUGAUUCUAUUUUGUUGGUUUCUAGGAUCGACGUAAUGAUUAAUAGGGAUAGUUGGGGGCAUUAGUAUUCAAUUGUCAGAGGUGAAGUUCUUGGAUUUAUUGAAGACUA